rnacentral:rRNA from 1 species
GAUUUCUGGUAUGGCGCACUUGGCCCGCCUCGGUUUACGGGGUUGUGUGCCGGUGUGUGCCUGCCAUCCUUCCAGUAAUUCAUAUUCCUUCCCUUUAUUGGGCUUGGAGUAUGGGUCUGGAUCAUUUACUUUGAAAAAAUUAGAGUGUUUCAAGCAGGCUUUAUGCUAUGAAUACAUUAGCAUGGAAUAAUAAUUUAGGACUUCGGUUCUAUUUUGUUGGUUUCUAGGACUGAAGUAAUGAUUGAUAGGGAUAGUUGGGGGUGCUAGUAUUCAGCGGCCAGAGGUGAAAUUCUCGGAUUCGCUGAAGACUAACUUAUGCGAAAGCAUU